rnacentral:rRNA from 1 species
AACGAACGCUGGCGGCAUGCCUAACACAUGCAAGUCGAACGGAUGCAGCAAUGCAUCAGUGGCAGACGGGUGAGUAACACGUGGGAAUCUACCCAGUAGCCUGGAAUAACCGCGGGAAACUGCGGCUAAUACCGGAUACGCCCCUCGGGGGAAAGGAGCAAUCCACUAUUGGAGGAGCCCGCGGCCGAUUAGCUAGUUGGUGAGGUAACGGCUCACCAAGGCGAUGAUCGGAAGCUGGUUUGAGAGAGCGACCAGCCACACUGGGACUGAGACACGGCCCAGACUCCUACGGGAGGCAGCAGUGGGGAAUAUUGGACAAUGGGGGAAACCCUGAUCCAGCAAUGCCGCGUGGGUGAUGAAGGCCUUCGGGUUGUAAAGCCCUUUUGGCGGGGACGAUGAUGACGGUACCCGCAGAAGAAGCCCCGGCUAACUUCGUGCCAGCCGCCGCCGUAA